rnacentral:rRNA from 1 species
GACAUAGGUGGCGAACGUUAUCCGGAAUUAUUGGGCGUAAAGGGUGCGUAGGUGGUUGAAUAAGUUAUUGGUGGGAAACCGGGGCUCAACCCCGUGGAAGCUAGUAAUACUAUUCAACUAGAGGACCGGAGGGGUUAACGGAAUUCUAUGUGUAGCGGUAAAAUGCGUAAAUAUAUAGAGGAACACCAAUUGGCGAAGGCAGUUAACUAUUCGGUUCCUGACGUUGAGGCACGAAAGCGUGGGGAGCAAGACGG